rnacentral:lncRNA from 1 species
CCUAAAGCAAACUACGAACAUUUAUCAUUUUUAUAUCAAAGGAUAACAGGAUUAAUUAAACGAGAGCCAUGCAAUUGAGGUUUUGACACUAAUUGCAUUCAGCUAUCGGAGUCCAUGUUAAUUAACAAAUCGAUCCAUGGUCAAUUGAAUUGCAAAUUAAAAAAGUAGCUCGUAUGUUCUAACUACAAUGUAACAGAAUCAUGGAGAUGAUACUCAAACUUCAAAUCUCAUUCCAUGGAAGCAAAUAACGUUUAUAUUUUAACAAAUCCAAACACACUAAUCUAUGUCACAAGAACUUCACCCCUACUACUAUUUCAUCUUUAUGAAACAAAUCAAGCCCAAACCAAUUUACAAUAUCCGUGAGCUCAAUUUAACCAAACGGAUGAUCCAAGAAAGAAAAACCAACAUGAAACAAGAUAGCAGGACAAAUAACAAAAAUAAAUGAACCCAAUAUGCUCCUCAACCCUAACCUCCAAACCCCAUCAAACCAGUAAACGAAACCAACCUAUUAAGAGUCGGUACAAUUCUCUACCAACAACAGAAUCCCAAUAUUACAAAAAAAUAUUUCAAUAUCUCCUAAUUAAAUCGUUCUGGAGGAGACCAAAAAAGCACGUUUGCUUAAAAAUGGAAGCCUCUUGUAAACUCUUGAAAUCUGGCGUUGUACCAGAACUUAGCAGGAACGCGAACUAUGGCCGCAAGUCUGACCGAAAAUCCUGCCGAAAAUGAGUGACUACCCCUUUUUGUGUUGAUUAAAAUGGAAUACCAGGUGGUUGCUGUGAAAUUUUCUACAUGUGGAGUGGCGUUGAUGUUCAGUGAGGUGAGGAAGAAUUCUGGUAUGAGAUGCGUCGUUCUUCUCAAGGGUCUGAUGAUUUUCGAUCAUCUCCCGUU